GCAUCCAUCUGCAGUCACAAAGAAAAGGGUUAUCAUCUUUCAACAUUUUAAUAACAUCCUCUCUAAGUUUUAAUAAUGAGAGGCACAAGAUUGUGAUCAAUAACAAGUUAAAGACGGUGUGAAUGACUAAGAUUUUCAUAAGGUUGUUCGUAGAGUGGAGGUAGCUUUGGGAGUAACCAAGAACCCAGCUACCAGUAGAGUUUCGGAAAACACCACCUAUAUAUUUCAACAUGUGUGCUUCAUACAAUAAUAAUGAAGUUGAGGGUAGUUCUGAAAUUUCACUCUAUUUUUUUUACGUGGCCUUCAACUUGCCACUAAGUUUGCACGUAUACCAUUUCCAUUGUUAUAACUUCGCCGACCUACCACGCACCAGAUGUGGAGAUGAAGGAUAUAAUCAUUUAUCCCCAAGCUACAGAGUUUCACUUCAACAAAACAAGGGAUAUAGGUCUAUCCUCUUGCUACGAAGGAUGCUGAUCAAGUGAAGUGAAAGGGGAAGAGUGAAUCAUGUUGUCGGUGCUGAGCUCUCCAAUUCUUUAUCAGCUAACAAUGUCUUGGAUUCUCUGGUUGGUUUCAUGUUUUUCCUUAUUUAGGAUUAUGUAUAAAACUUUAAAAAUUGAUUGUGAAACCAAAAAUUUGUUAA